AGUGAACGCUGGCGGUAGGCCUAACACAUGCAAGUCGAACGGCAGCACAGUAAGAGCUUGCUCUUACGGGUGGCGAGUGGCGGACGGGUGAGGAAUACAUCGGAAUCUACUUUUUCGUGGGGGAUAACGUAGGGAAACUUACGCUAAUACCGCAUACGACCUACGGGUGAAAGCAGGGGAUCUUCGGACCUUGCGCGAUUGAAUGAGCCGAUGUCGGAUUAGCUAGUUGGCGGGGUAAAGGCCCACCAAGGCGACGAUCCGUAGCUGGUCUGAGAGGAUGAUCAGCCACACUGGAACUGAGACACGGUCCAGACUCCUACGGGAGGCAGCAGUGGGGAAUAUUGGACAAUGGGCGCAAGCCGGAUCCAGCCAUACCGCGUGGGUGAAGAAGGCCUUCGGGUUGUAAAGCCCUUUUGUUGGGAAAGAAAAGCAGCAGGUUAAUACCCCGCUGUUCUGACGGUACCCAAAGAAUAAGCACCGGCUAACUUCG
rnacentral:rRNA from 1 species